rnacentral:rRNA from 1 species
GAUGAACGCUGGCGGCGUGCUUAACACAUGCAAGUCGAACGGUGAAGGCGGAGCUUGCUCUGCUGGAUCAGUGGCGAACGGGUGAGUAACACGUGAGCAAUCUGCCCCUGACUCUGGGAUAAGCGCUGGAAACGGCGUCUAAUACUGGAUACGAGCUGCGAAGGCAUCUUCAGCAGCUGGAAAGAAUUUCGGUCAGGGAUGAGCUCGCGGCCUAUCAGCUUGUUGGUGAGGUAAUGGCUCACCAAGGCUUCGACGGGUAGCCGGCCUUAGAGGGUGGCCGGCCACACUGGGACUGCGAGACGGCCCAGACUCCUACGGGAGGCAGCGGUGGGGAAUAUUGCAGAGUGGGCGAAAGCCUGAUGCAGCAACGCCGCGUGAGGAACGACGGCCUAUGGGUUAUAAACCUCUUUUAGCAGGGAAGAAGCGAAAGUGACGGUACCUGCAGAAAAAGCGCCGGCUAACUACGUG